UUUGUUAGUAUUUACUGGUAACCUUCGUGGAAAGAAAGGCCUAUCAAAUAGAGGCAUCAACUGAGCUCGAGGGAUCAUCUCCUUUCUUAACAUUCGAACCUCUUCUUCCUCGAUCAUCUGGUUUCAGGUUUUCAAUCAAUCUACUCAAUCAAAAAGUCAUACCGAAGUUUUUGUUUUGAUGGGAAGCGAAGAGGGGUCGGAUUUCACAGGUCUUGUUGGUGAACGAACAGCAUCACUGCUGUAAGAAGUAUUCUUCACAUACUUAAACCAACAACACGAAGGGAAACAUGUUAGAAUGUCUUAAACCUGGAAGAGAAUUAGUAGAUGGUGAAGAAAACAUAAAGAAAGCGAAUUAAUGCAUGAUGAUAUUGACCUUGUGAGAAGUUUUUAUUCUAGGGGUUUCCAUAAUGAGUGUAAAUAACUUAAAAGAAGUUAAAGUUGAAGUGAAGUGAAGUGAAGAGUGUGUAUAGUGUGUGUUAUAUAUGGGAGUAGGGGUUGGAGAUUUGUAGCCAUCUGAGUUUCGGUGGAUGUUGGAACAUCAUCAGCUUAUUGGGAAAGUUGCAUGCUUUCUUGCACCAAACUUUCUGAUGAAACCCAUCCUUCGUAUUAUUAUGAUUAGGACGAGGUGCAUUAUAUAAAAUGAAAAGAAUCUUAUCUAUAUGGAUAUUAAUAUUGCUAUAUUCGUCUUCCCAUAGAGCAUCAAUUUGUCAGCUAAUAGCAGGGGAAAAACAUAUUCGAGGAAGUUGCUUUUAUUCACGAAAGAAACAAAUACACAUAUACACAUAUAUUCUUUAAUUCUAAAUUGAAGAAAUCAAGAACAUUAAUUGCAUUUCAAUCAUAUGUUUUCCACAUUUUGAUUAUUUACUGCGUCAUUUUUGUCAACAUUUUAUUUUUGUCCAUCAAUUUUGUAAAAUGUAUAUGACGUUUUAAAUUAAGAAUUCUAUUAAUGACAAUUAAAUCCCACCAAAAAUAAAAUUGAUUAAAUUAGGAAUUCUAUUAAUAACAAUUAAAUCUCACCCAAAAAUAAAAUGAAAAAAAUUACCCCGCCCCACCCCUCAUUAUCAGUACCCCUACGCUAUCUUCCUUUUUAUUUACAUAAUCUAUCUAACCUAAGUUUUAUACUGGAGAAGAAAAUGGGGGAAAGAAGAAAUAUAAUACCUGUGGGCUUUGAUUUGUGUGAAUCAGUCUUGUGUUUGAUCAUCAUAGAAGGAGGAAUGAUAUAGAUAUAAAUUUUCUUUGGAUUCUACUUUAAUUAGAUCAUAGUUUAGUUCGAUUUUGGCUACGUUUUAGCUUAUGCUUCUUUUAUUCUGUUUCAACUAUGAAGUUCCAAUCUAUAAAACCUUCCAAUUUAAGUUUAAAUCGAUAAUGGUUAUGUUUUUUUGAAUCUGCUUCGAUUUUGUUCUUAUGAUCUGUAUUGUUGAUUUUGAUUUUUUAAGUUAUAGGUAUCUGGAGAGCAAAAUGAUGGACACAUCAGCACCACUACCUCUCAUCCAUUGUUUUGAUUUGUAAGAUAUGUCCACUAGCUUACCAAGUCGUGAAUGAGAAGAUAUACUUGAGUCAAUGUCUAUAAUGCUUUCAUCAUUCGAUCCAUUCCUGGAUUUGGAGAUGAAAUUCAAACCCUUAUACCAGUGAGUGAUCCACAUAUCCUACAACUUAGCAAAACCCAGAGAUGAUAUGUGUUUUGAUUUAUUGUAAAAAACAUAUAUUUUUUUUUAUAAAAACACAAAUUGGGCUC